ACGCUCGACACCUACGGGAGCCAGCAGUGGGGAAUAUUGCACAAUGGGGGAAACCCUGAUGCAGCGACGCCGCGUGGAGGAAGAAGGUCUUCGGAUUGUAAACUCCUGUUGUUGGGGAAAAAGNGGAUGGUACCCAACAAGGAAGUGACGGCUAACUACGUGCCAACAGCCGCGGUAAUCUGAGCGGGCUGGCAAGGC
rnacentral:rRNA from 1 species